rnacentral:lncRNA from 1 species
CAAGUAUGACCACAUGCAGAACUGUAUGACCGAACCUGCAAGAAAGUCUAACAUAAUAACUGGACUGUAAAGGUGUUAGAUCCUAACAGAUUCCAAAAAGAAUAUCAGCUUCUCAAUUAAUUCAUUGAAUGAGAGCUACAUGUGGGUAAAGGUUUUCCAGGAAAGGAAAUUCAAAUUAAAAAGCAUGUUUUACCAGAACUACCAGAAGUCUUCAUUGCUUGUACUCACUGAAAACUGAACAGUUUUCCACCUCCGGAAACAGAACCUUAGUGUUUUGGGUUGCUUUUAUUUUUUAAUACACUAUUUCCAUUAUUUGUGAGGAACUUCAUUUGGGAGAGAAACACAUCCACCUGACUAUUCUGAUUUAAGGAUGGGGAACGGGGAUGUCUUCUUUUCCUAAAGCAAUACUGUCCCUCUGAUGGCGCUGUYCACCUGUCAUCUUCUCUAAUAACUUUCACAUCUGCUGACCGAUUUCAGCUGAACUUGGCACAUUCAAUGUAGAGACGCCAAGUUCUUUUGUGGGAGAGAGUAAAAUCAGCCUCCCAUCUGCAUGCGGCAGUAUAAGCUCAAGCAGCCUGGCGCUUUCACACCACUUGCUGCCUGUUGCACAGCCGAUGGUGAAGGGACGUGGACAGAACGAGGUUAACGGAGGGGGAGUUUAGGGGAUGCAGCUGGGGAAAAUACAAGAGUGUUCAGGUGUCUAAGUGAAGAACUAAAGUGUUCUUAGUCCAAGAGAGAAGGAGGACCACGAGCUAUUUCGUAAAGUAGCAAGCCCAUCUGUAAACACUACAGAGYGAUGCAGAUUACCCAUUAACCUUUCUGCCAUCCUCCACAGUCUACAGAUUUAACUGGACUUCACGCCACAUCUUCUGAACAACGCUGAGGAAUAAACCACCAAGAGGAAAGUGGCGGUGAGAAGCAAGGAAGCACGCUGCAAGAGUCACGCUACCUUAAGGGUUACCACCCCGUAUCUUUGGGCAGUGCCUGGAACCGCACGCAAGCAUUUAGCGAGGYGACGACCGCAAACCAGGGCGCCGAUGCUGCGGGCAACACCAACGCUGCUUCUCUUUGCUCACGUUACGGCUGCCGUGACGGGAAACGGCAACGAGCCUCGCGCUGCAACGAGGGAGCUGCUAGCCCAGUCCGGUUUCAGUCGUUAGUAAGCCUGCUCCAGAGGAAGAGGGGGCAGCUCCUCUGCGGAUAUUCAGCAGAUCUAAAUCUAAACGGUAACGGGGUGCUUGAAAUCAGCAGCGAGCUUCUACGUAUGGAACAGCCAAGCCACAGGCCGGUUAAACACGAACGCGGCUGCGAAGGUUGGCGCGAGCUUAGCGUGCUAACGCACACCGACGCCUGCGGCUUCCCUUGGCUCGGGCAACACAGCAACAGCGCAGCGUUCCCGUGAUUAUCAACCGUCUUUACGCGGGGCCCKUGUUCCCGCUCGUCCAGCUCCGCGGGCUGCCGCGGCCUCUCCCGCCCGCCGGCGGCAGCGGAACCGGGCCCCGGGCCUGCCCCCGGCAGCCGCAGCCCUUUCAUCACCGCCACCAGCCCGCGGCUCCGGCGAGAGCCGCCCUCCCACUCGGGGCACCGCAGCCGCUCUCACAGCGAGGAACCGAAACCCCGUGAGUCACCCGCGACGCGGCCCCGAGCACCGGGCCCGGUACCACAGCGGGGCCGCCGCCGCCUCCUGUAAUGGCGGCCGCAGCACCCCCGCCGGCCGCGCCACGCCGCGCCGCCCAUUGGCGCCACCCGUUGCCACGGCGACAGGCCCCGCCCCCCGCCCGCGCUCUUCCCGCCUAGCCUCGCGCGCGCCUCUCCCUCGCUCGUAGGGUGGGAAGGGGGAAGGGGAGGGGGGGGGAGCGAGCGCGAGGUUUCGCAUCCGGGGGAGCGAGGCGGAAGAGAGGGCGCGGGGAGCGGGGGCGCCCCGGAAGCAGACCGCGGAGGCUCCUGGGAGUUGUAGUCCGAGCGGCGGCGGAC